CCUACGGGAGGCAGCAGUGAGGAAUAUUGGUCAAUGGACGCAAGUCUGAACCAGCCAUGCCGCGUGCAGGAAGACGGCUCUAUGAGUUGUAAACUGCUUUUGUACGAGGGUAAACGCAGAUACGCGUAUCUGUCUGAAAGUAUCGUACGAAUAAGGAUCGGCUAACUACGUGCCAGCAGCCGCGGUAAUACGGAGGAUUCAAGCGUUAUCCGGAUUUAUUGGGUUUAAAGGGUGCGUAGGCGGUCGGAUAAGUUAGAGGUGAAAUCCCGAGGCUCAACUUCGGAAUUGCCUCUGAUACUGUUCGGCGAGAGAGUAGUUGCGGUAGGCGGAAUGUAUGGUGUAGCGGUGAAAUGCUUAGAGAUCAGACAGAACACCGAUUGCGAAGGCAGCUUACCAAGCUACUUCUGACGUUGAGGCACGAAAGCGUGGGGAGCAAACAGGAUUAGAUACCCUUGUAGUC
rnacentral:rRNA from 1 species